rnacentral:rRNA from 1 species
AUUGAACGCUAGCGGCAGGCCUAACACAUGCAAGUCGAACGAGUGGCGGACGGGUGAGUAAUGUCUGGGAAACUGCCUGAUGGAGGGGGAUAACUACUGGAAACGGUAGCUAAUACCGCUUACAAUCGGAUGUGCCUAGAGGGGAUUGGCUAGUAGGUGGGGUAAAGGCUCACCUAGGCGACGAUCCCUAGCUGGUCUGAGAGGAUGACCGGCGACACUGGAACUGAGAAACGGGCCAGAGCCCUACGGUAGGCAGCAGUGGGGAAUAUUGCACAAUGGGCGCAGGCCUGAUGCAGCCAUACCGCGUGUAUGAAGAAGGCCCUAGGGUUGUAAAGUACUUUCAUUCGGGAGGCGUUACCGACAGAAGAAGCACCGGCUAACUCCGUGCCAGCAGCCGCGGUAAUAC